rnacentral:rRNA from 1 species
UUUUGGACAAUGGGCGCAAGCCUGAUCCAGCCAUGCCGCGUGAGUGAAGAAGGCCUUCGGGUUGUAAAGCUCUUUCGGCAGGCCCCCAAAUGGUUCGUGCUAAUACCGCGGACUGAUGACGGUACCUGAAGAAGAAGCACCGGCUAACUACGUGCCAGCAGCCGCGGUAAUACGUAGGGUGCAGGCGUUAAUCGGAAUUACUGGGCGUAAAGCGUGCGCAGGCGGUUUCUUAAGUCAGAUGUGAAAGCCCCGGGCUUAACCUGGGAACUGCGUUUGAAACUGGGAGACUUGAGUGUGGCAGAGGGGGGUGGAAUUCCACGUGUAGCAGUGAAAUGCGUAGAUAUGUGGAGGAACACCGAUGGCGAAGGCAGCCCCCUGGGUUAACACUGACGCUCAUGCACGAGG